UAGAGGACAGAGGGAAGUGUUCAUUUUUCCAGUUGUGUUGUUGUGCAUUUUUUUGUAACUUUAUCACAGGUGUCCCUUGAAUCCUCCCUUGCUGAGGAUUCUGUAUGGCUACUGUAAGAACCAAUAGGAGCAAUCAAGCCCAGAAAAGAGAGACCUUACUCAGGAAAGUGCUGCAAAAUGAAUGGAGACCAUGUGACUUCGGUGAUGACAGAUAAUUUUGUAAAAUUAUGUUAGAGGCAGGAGUUGCACACAGAAGACGUGCAGGAUUUUGCCCUACAUGCCCCAGGACAUCUAGCAGAUUAGAUUGUACAGAGAAUUAACACCCUUUCAUGAAAAUGCCAUGUCAUCUCACUUAAAUGUCUUAUCUGAAGUAAACAGCAACUGGAGCAGUAUGAGGCCUCCCUGGAGGCUAAGAGAGCAUGACCAACUACUGGAUUUGAAAUGAAAGUCUAGCCUUGGCCUCCUUGAGCAAAGAGACUAUUUGGUUUGGCCAAUGUACCACCAUAGGAUCUAAUCACAUCAGCCACACUAUCAGAGGCUUGUUCACCUGCACAUCUACCCAUGUGAUAUAUGCCAUCAUGUGCCGGCAAUGCCCCUCUGCCAUGUACAAUGGUCAAACCAGAAAGCCUUGAACCCAUGACCAUCCUUCCUCCUUCAAACCACUCAUAGCUGUAGAUGCUGCUGCGGCCUCAACUGACUAUGUUGAAGUAUAUCUCAAGAAACGCAACAGUUUCUGAUGAUCCUGACAAAGAUAAGUGGUAUUCAGCAGUUUAAACUGAAAGUGGAUUUUUAAAUUAAGGCACAAUUUUAAGGAUGGUGAAUUGUAUAACUCUAAUAUGUGCCAACACCGGGGAUAUGCACUGCAUUUAUCUACAUGCCACUUGUAAGUGCUGAGAACACUUCUGUCUCAUGAAGAUUAAUUUAAAUAUCUUUGGUAUAAAUUAUGACAUGUUCCCUACAGGUGGAAUUUAUGAUAAGUAAGAAAUAAGUAGAAGGAGUAGCUGAAACUUACAUCAGAUGGUCUGACUCUUUUGUUAUUGUCAAGAAAUUAAGGUUGCUAAUACAACUGCAAAUGGUGUAACCUAUUUAGUUCCUGAAAACUAAUUUCAUAAUGUCAUAGGUUUCUGCAUAAGCUAUACAUCAGAGACCUGGGAAGAGAAAGGAAAUGAAAGUAAGGGGGGUGGGAAACCUUGUUAUGAGCUAUAAUGUAUCUAAAAAGAUUGAUAUAAAUAAAAUAUCAAUUAGUUUUUCCAGCUGAGUUAUCUGCUUUCCAAAAUUAAGCACCCCUUAUUUAACUGUGUGGGCAAUGGGAAUGAUGAUUGAGAUAGAAGAAAAACCAUUACACUCUCCAACAAAACUUUCAUUUGAAUGGCUUUAAAAAAAGCAAACCAAAAAUUGAGAUAUAAUUCUCAAAGACUUUAUGAAGCAUUUUAAUUGCAUAUGGCCAUGAAGGCAUAUGCAGUCAAUGUAGAAAUCAUUUUAUACUCAGCAACACUGCACAAACAGAUGUGAUCAUUAGUGCCAAUUAGUCUAUAUUGGUUUGAAAUGAAAAAGGGACUAUUGGUCUGGGUAAUGAGGCCACCUCUUUGGCUGUUGAAUAAAACCAAAGACUAAUCUCUACCUGAAUAAAACCAAAAUGUACAGAGGGACAGUGGGGGAAGCCUCCAUUUAAAUAUCAUCAGAAAACUCCACCCUUUCACAAUACAGCAAUGUUUUUAUGAUAAGCUCAGCAACUGGUAGAUGAUGGUUAUCCAGAUUUCUCAGCUUUGAACUAGUAACUGUUUCACAGAGAUAAAAGGAGAAGCUAAAUGCUGUAUACAAUUAUAAUCUGAAUUUCAUGAUGACAGCUAAGAUUCCUGAUUAAUAAUUUAUUUUCUUGUAAAGAUCUUCGUUAUAGGAAUAUAAUAUCCAAGGGUAUUUCAAAGCAGAGCUGUGCAGGGGCUAUUAUCUGUCUGUGACAAACUGCUGCAUAAGCAAGUGGCAGUAGCUUUCCAAUUUGUAAAGAAUAAAAUGGAUUCUCUUAUAUCAACUUUGUAUUAUUGUUUUAAAUAUGUAAAAUGUUUUUAAAGCUUAAGGAGAUUUACUGCAAUCAUAAGUUGGUUUAGGCUUGCAAAACAUGCAAGUCCCGUAGUUUGUUGUAAAUUACAUAGGGUCCUGUGUUGUAAAACACAAAAAGGAUUCAAGUCUCUGCCAGCCACUGAGCUAGAUUAACUAUCUGACCUUGCUUUACAGAUGAUUUUACAUGACUGUUAAAACAUUGCAUUAUUUUCAUGAUUCCGGUAAUAAUUUAUGCUUCAAGCCAACUUGCACCUUCUAGACAAAUGUCCACAAUUAUUAAAAACCACCUUAAUUUAGAUAUAACAAAGCCAACAAAUUCAAUUAAACUAAACUUAGAGCAAAAAUAACCUAUUCACUCACCCACAUCCUGUUCUCUCAGGGAACAUGUUGCUAGUGAAUUCCCUACUCUAUACAGUUAUUCUAGACUAUAUAUUUUUUUAAAAAAGCCUUAAGCCAGGUUCCUAAAUCCAUACUUCAGCACCUACAGAAGUGGCCUGAUUUUUUAAAGGUGUUGAGCAUCUAGUAGCUCUCACAUAACUCUGCUCUUGUCUUCAAGAAAAAAAUCACAAAUUAGUUCUACAUUGCAAUCAAAUACCUGUGGCUGGCCUGUCAGCUGACUCAGGCUUUGGCUAAGGGGCUGUUUAACAGCAGUGUAGAGGUACCAGCUUGGGCUGGAGCCUGAGCUCUGGGACCCCUUAUGGGGUCCCAGAACUCCAGCUCCAUUCCAACCCCAAACAGCUGUACUCCAAUUAAACUCCUUAGCCUGAGCCCAAGUCAGCUGAUGUGGGGCAGCUGUGGAUGUUCAAUUGCAAUACAGACAUAGCCAGAGUGACUACGCUAAGUUCUUCCUAACUCUAAGGGCAUGCCUUCACUAGGAAUUUACUUCAGUAUAGUUACAGCUCUCAGAAACAUGAAAAACAUCUACACCAUGAGAGCUGUAGCUAUACUGACCUAACCCUGAGUGUAGACAGAGAUAGGAUGAGUAGGAUGGAUUUCAUCGAUGGAUGAAUUUUUCCAUCAACCUAGCUACUGCCUCCCAAGGACAUGGGUUUACUGGACUAACAGUGAUUCGAUUAGCUGCUGCUGAGUUUUAACUCGAGCUGUUGCAUCCCCACUGCAUUAUUAGCUCAAGCUUCAGCUUCACUCCAGCUUCAACCACUACCAUGAAACUUGAGCGUAAGACUUCUGUGUGCGGAUGGAAGUCAAGUUAGGGGAAACGUUCAUGUUAUAAAUUGAACUAACUGUGCUGUGAAGACACAUCCUAGGAGUAUAUUAAAUAAAGCAAUGUCUGUUAGAAUAGCAUGAAUCAGAGAUGAGUAGCAGCAUCAAGCAUGCAUGCAGUUUGAGACUACACUAGGUCUUGUCUAGGUAGAUCAACACGUUGUGCUUACAGUUAAAUCAGAAUACAAUAUGUAUGUUCUUAAUACUACUGUGUUUGUCUUGCAGGCUGUUUGGCCAUGUCCUCAACCUCUGGAGUCCCUCAGACAUCCACCUAGGACAUACUAUCAGCUUCAUUUUCAAGGUUGGGGGCCAACUCUUCAGGAAUAGCUUUUCAGCAUUCAGCAGAGUUCAAAGGGUAAAGAUGACCCUCAAACAUGACUACAAGCCACCCUGCAGCUGUGAGGGAAGCAGCCAGUCAGGGCCCAGCAGGCUAGUAUAAAAACAGCUGCAUGGCCACAAUGAAUUGUGUUCCUUGCUAGAGAAGAGUGGCUGGUGCUCUGUACUGGCUGCUGGGCCUCUACCAGGACAAAGCCCUGAGAUAAGGGUGAAGAAUGUGCUGGAGUCACGGGGAAGUAGCCCAGGGAAUUGUAGCAGCAACAUAGUGUAUUUAAAGGGACACUGCAGAUGGCUGCUAUCUAUAGGAUCACUGGGCUAUGACCCAGAGUAGAGGGCAGGCCUGGGUCCGCCUCCCCCACAAACUACUGGAAAAGUGGCCUAGACUUUGAGGCACCCCAGAAGGGGAACUGAACUGUAGUAGCCCAGCUGAAGAACUGGGGCCAGAAAGGCUCUGAGGGGUGAAGACACUGCCUCCAGGGAAGGAGCCCUGAGGCAUCACUCUAUUCCAGAGCAGGGACAAACUGAGAGAGACAUCACAGAAGGUACUGAGAGAGGUCCCGAUUGGACCUGUACCCCCAAAGGGGUUUGCCUUGUUUUUAUAUCACAGACAGACUGUGUCUGACUUGGCUGGAGGGCUGAGUCACCGAAGACCCACCACAAACAGAGAGAGAGUGUGCAGGCACACACAUUCGGGCAAGGGGCACUCAUAAAAGGUGAGUGUGACCCUGUUACAACAUACUAUAUAAUGCUGAACAAAAACCAAAUUCUUUGAAGUGGAACUAUUUUCUAAGUACUGCAUAAAAACAUUUUUUAUUUGACUCCUGGGCCUGAUUCAACAGCUAUUUUCUAACAUCAAAAGGUGUACCCACACAGUGGUUUCUUCCCUGUGGACAAUGACCUAUUAACAUUUAUAUAGCUGUUCCUAUCUCAGACUUAUAUUAAUCUUUCAGACGGGGCUAAUGUUUCCAGGGCAUCUCUGCAUUCCCUUGGCUAAUUGUUAGUGUAAUCAAAGUAUGACAUUUCCACAAAUUCCAAUUUCCUCUUACUCGUUAUUCAUAUCAAAUAUGAUUUUCAUUUUGACCCCAACACUGUCUUUGCAUGGAAAGACUUUACAUAAUUGGUUUUGCCUGGUUCAAGUAAGAGAGACUGCUGCUAACAUUAUCUGUGAGUUAGUUUGGUCUGGCCUGGUCCUACUCUAAAGCAAGCAAGUUAAAUCACUGCAGAGGAACAGGAAUCAGGCUACAGGAAAGAACUGAGAGAAUACAGUGUUUUAAUUCUGCAUCUUGGAUUCAUGGCCACACAGCAGCUACUUUGUGGUUCCAGGCAAUGAAGGAUUACUCUGCCUCCCCUUCCAACCUCUCUACCCCUUUUGCUUUAUUCGUAAAUUGAUUCAUUUUCUGGCCUGCCACAAGGGCUCCAUGCGCUGCUUGCACUUUAUAGACCACAGUUUGAGAAGCUCUGUGCUAAAGAAAAGUAAAAAUAGAUGUAUUUUGAAACAGUAAUGAAGUAACUUCAAAUUUAUUCAUACACUAUUCCAUGAUAAUGGCUCCAUCCUUCUGCUGCUUUUAACAACACUGGUCAGGGUGUCCUUUUGGAAUGUUUAAAAUGGAUGGUAAGGCUAGCUAGAACUGUCUGUCUUGAUUCAAAAUAUAUCUGAGAGAUAGUUCCCAAUGUCUUAGCAUCAUAAAUAUUUAGGUUCUUCUCCUCAGGUUCACUGUCCUGGCUUUUUUAUUAUUAUUAUACCUUGCUGAAGGGGAGCAGUAUACCAUCGGAGCCUCAGCGACCUAGUUAAUCACUGCAGAUGAAGUCAGGCUGGAAUUCCAUCAGCUCAGUAGUAUUUAGCUAUUUAAAAAAAAAAAAACCACACACACCAAAGCAACCAAAUGUGGUAGAUAAAAAGGCAUUACGAUGUAAGGCAUAUUAGGAGCUUUUGGUU